rnacentral:rRNA from 1 species
CCUACGGGAGGCAGCAGUGAGGAAUAUUGGUCAAUGGACGAGAGUCUGAACCAGCCAAGUAGCGUGAAGGAUGACUGCCCUAUGGGUUGUAAACUUCUUUUAUAUGGGAAUAAAAUGUUCCACGUGUGGGAUUUUGUAUGUACCAUAUGAAUAAGGAUCGGCUAACUCCGUGCCAGCAGCCGCGGUAAUACGGAGGAUCCGAGCGUUAUCAGGAUUUAUUGGGUUUAAAGGGAGCGUAGGUGGAUUGUUAAGUCAGUUGGGAAAGUUUGCGGGUCAACCGUAAAAUUGCAGUUGAAACUGGCAGUCUUGAGUACAGUAGAGGUGGGCUGAAUUCGUGGUGGAGCGGUGAAAUGCUUAGAUAUCACGAAGAACUCCGAUUGCGAAGGCAGCUCACUGGACUGCAACUGACACUGAGGCUCGAAAGUGUGGGUAUCAAACAGGAUUAGAUACCCGAGUAGUC